CAAAAACAAGUCGUAAUUGUGAAUUAAAAUGGCUUCUUCAAAGGUCUUUGUAAUCACCAUUAUUUUUGCUGUACUUUUUCUAGUCCCAAGCGAAAUUUCAGCACGUCAGCUAGCAGAACCUUUCUCAACCAAAAAGACGCAUGUUGUGAAGCACGCUAGUGAUCCUAUUUACUACUCUAAUCCACAAACAGAUCCUAAUUCGUAUCAAGCUGUUCCAUGUCAAGGGUGUAAUAAUUAAUGCAAUCUCAGUUUCCUAAUGUUCUUGAUUUAGCAAUUUUCGAUUCAUAUAUGCUGUUAUGUUUUUAAUAGAAUUUUACUUCCUUUUUUUUUUUUCCCCAUUUUUGCUGUACCCUACUUACCUCGCUAUAUUUAUACCAUUCAACUCAUUAUUUCUUACAUUCAUCCACCUUUUUAUUACACAUCCAUCUGUUUGCUAGAAUGAAUGUGUACUAGAAUUUAAAACAAAUAAAUAAGUGAUUCUCCUUCAAAUUAAGUUUUAUGUCUUGGGUAUAUCAUGUAUGUAGUGGUUCUCACUUGUAUUCUCUAUGUUGGUUUUUUUUGCAUCAUAAAUAACAUACAAACUUUCUAUUUAUGCUUGUA